UACGUAGGGUGCAAGCGUUGUCCGGAAUUAUUGGGCGUAAAGAGCUCGUAGGCGGUUUGUCGCGUCUGCUGUGAAAAUCCAGGGCUUAACCCUGGACCUGCAGUGGGUACGGACAGACUAGAGUGCGGUAGGGGAGAUCGGAAUUCCUGGUGUAGCGGUGAAAUGCGCAGAUAUCAGGAGGAACACCGGUGGCGAAGGCGGAUCUCUGGGCCGUAACUGACGCUGAGGAGCGAAAGCAUGGGGAGCGAACAGG
rnacentral:rRNA from 1 species